rnacentral:lncRNA from 1 species
AUUGUUUCUCCUCGAUCGCUCCAGAUUUCUUCAGACACCAAAAUGUCUCUGACUGGACAAGAUUGACUUUCAAGACAAAUUCCAAAAAGGGAUCACUGCGUAAAACUGCCAGUUCUUCGCACGUUCGUCGAAGAUUGUUGCCCGCGAUCCUGAGGGCACGAUCACAAGUGACGCAUUAAUGCGAUGCGAUUAGACUAACGAAGGCGAACAUUACCUUUCGGUUGAACUCCGGGUCCAAUCAGAAGCGCGUAGAUUUUCGAACGACGAGUUGCCAGUCAUUAUUGAAAUAAGCUCGACAGCCGCGCUCGAGGCCGCUUUACGUUUCGAAACCCUCCUGAGCUGAUUUGCUAGCGCGCAAAAGAUAAUAUAUACCUCGGAAGAAACAUCAAAGCAAGAGACGCCGAUAUCGUAUCCAAGUCCUACUCCGACGGCCAAACCUCGCUGGCGAAAGGAUAUAUGCUAUCGAAUACAUCUCCAAGACCUCGUGCGGUCGCAAAUUAUUUUAUUUAUGAUAAGAGUCUUACUCUUAAUCAGCCGAAUUUUUUCGGUAAAUCGGAUUUUCAAGAUGGCGAGACGUUUUUGCAGCUGUAUGGGCAAUUCCACAACGAGGUCCUUGGCCCGAGGGCAUGAUUCGAGAUGGUGAAAACAAUAAUGCUGCAUGUGAAAACGAGGCAAUAUUUUCAACAGACUGUCAUAUCAAAAAGCAAGGCAUGUAAUAACAGUGUAAUAACUCUCCAGUGCUCGGACAGUCACGUCACGUAUUCGGCGCGCGAUGUGGUGGCGCGCGUCGUCCAUCCCCAGGGGAUCGGCAUAGCCGCGUCGCGCGACGCGGCGCGCACACGCGGUCAUCGUCGUGGCCGUCGUCGUGAUCGUUGGGGCGUCGCGUCGUGCGAGAUGGGACGAGCGAACCCUUUGUAUAAUACCAAUCAAGGUGCCGAACGAAGGUAAAAAAUACGAAGCAAGUAAUAAUAAUAAGAGUAUAAUAAGGUAUAUACCAACUUAUUUUAUAUACCUUCAUUCGCUCGUCAUGUGAUAUAUAAUAAAUAAGUUUUCGUAUUAUGACAAAUAAACCAAGUCAUUCGAAUAAGGCGUGCGUGUGUAGGUAAAAAAUAUAGACCCCGAAAUUAAACCCUCGACAUACUUACUUACUUACUUACUUACUUACUUGCUUAUUACCUUCGUUCGGUACUUAUUAUUACUUACCUUCUAUUCGUAUUACGAAGCAAGGUAUGGAAUACUUACUUAUUACCUACAUAUAGAUACGUAUUACUUAAAACUUAUUACUUAUUAUUAACAUGUCCUUAUUGAUUGACUUGGUUUGUCAUAAUAAAUAAAUAAAAUAAAUGAUGAGCAUACAUAACUCAUAACUCUCAUAUAUAUGUAUAUAUAUUAUUAGAAUAUAUAUUAGAAUAUAUAUAUAUAUAUAUCAUACGAUCGAAGUAAAGGUAAUAUUAACAUGCGCAUAGUCUAAUAAGUAUUGUAUAGUAUAUGAUGAGCAUUUUGUAUAUAUUUAAAGAUAUGAUAGAUAUUACAUAUAGCUAGUCAUAUGAUUAUUCAAUAUUAUACAUUAAC